CCGCGGAUCUGUGUCUUGCUUCAACAGUGUUUGGAUGGAACAGACCCCGGGACUCCUCCUUUCCACAACCAACUGCCUCUCCACUCACCGCCUCUGACCCUGAUCUUCUCGCCCGUCGCCUGCUUCCAGGACCAACCAAUGCCGUGUUUUUCUGUGGUUAGCUCUGUAUUGACGACCAGCCAUGACCUCCCAGAUUCGUCAGAAUUACUCCACCGAGGUGGAGGCUGCCGUCAACCGCCUGGUCAACUUGCACCUGCGGGCCUCCUACACCUGCCUCUCUCUGGGCUACUAUUUCGAUCGGGACGAUGUGGCUCUGGACGGCGUGGGCGCCCAGAGCCUCCUGAAGAUGCAGAACCAGGACGUGCAGAAACCUUCUCAGGAUGAGUGAGGUAAAACCAUGGAAGCCAUGGAAGCCGCCUGGCCCUGGAGAAGAGCCUGAACCAAGCCAUUGUGGACCUUCAUGCCUUGGGUUCUGCUCGCACAGACCCCCAUCUCUGGAUGGUCUGGAGACCCACUUCCUGGAUGAAGAGGUGAAGCUCAUCAAGAAGAUGGGCGACCACUUAGCCAACUUUUGCAGGCUGGGGGCGGCCCCGCAGGCCCAGCUGGGCAAGGAUCUUUUCCAAGCCUCACCCACAAACACGACUAG